rnacentral:lncRNA from 1 species
ACUUAAAAUUCUACUUCAAAGGCUAAUAAUACUGAUGAAUCUUGACUUGUAUGAUAUACAUUGUGUGGAUAUGCCAUAAUCCUUAAUCAGUGCUCAUGUUUAGACAAAGAAUUCACAAUUUCCUAAUUAUAAGAACAAAUUUUCGAGUUGUAUAUAUCAAAAAGAUCCCACAUCAAUGAAAAAAACCCGACCCAGAAUAGACUAACCAGUAUCCAAGUCGUAAUCUCAAAGAUGAGAAGAAACAUAAAGUUUUGUUGCACCCUAUCUCCAAAUCUGGUAACGUGAUGGUUUCCCUCGGCCAUAGUCGAACCAUGUGGCUUCUCCAUUAUUAUGUUCUUCUUUACGAUGCUUUUAAGCAAGAGGACAAAGAUAACUCAAAAGAAGGUGACAAAAUCUUAAUAGUGAUUACUUCCUAUUCGACAAGAGACAGAUCAAAAGAGAGGAUAAGAAUCAUCAUUGUACAUAAUAUAUUGGGUCCAUAUUUUGUUACAAUGCAUUCUAUUUUGACAUUUAACGGACAAAUGCUCCGAACAUGACUAGGGUUCAUUGGAUGUCAUUUCUGUGGUGUUUUCUACUUUAACUUCUUCAUUUUCAAUGUGCGUAAGAACUUAUUUGGUAUAUAGACUAUAGAGCAAUUGGUGUCUCACAAAUUGUAGAACUCUACUAUUCAAAGCUUUUAGAGAAUGGUUCUCUUUCUCUCAAGUAAAAUAUUAA